rnacentral:tRNA from 1 species
UGCACCGGUAGCUCAGCUGGAUAGAGCACACGGCUACGAACCGUGAGGUCGGAGGUUCGAAUCCUCUCCGGUGCAA